GUGUCCCUGUGCAAUUAAAGUGCUUGGUAUAUUUCAUAGACCAAGUGCCUCAUGUCUUUCAUCUAAAAGUAUGGUCCUAUAUGUUCUGUGAUUACUGUAUCUACUGUGCAGAUAAAAUUGGUUUGAUCAGUCAGAUGUACUGUUUUUGAGUACACAGUAAAUAUGUGGUGUGUUUAUGGAGCUCUAACAUGUCUAAGGAAAGGUGAACCAUUUACUUUAGUCUCUAAGAACCACAGGCCUUCUUAGUUAGACGUCUGUUUCACGUUGCCACAUGCCUCUCGGUCCAAUAUGAAAGAUGUACUCUAUGAUUAUAAAGUCAUUUUAACCCGAUUGUCUGUUUUUUCCCACUGCUCCUAUAGUAUGAAAUGAAAGUAUCUCAAGGUUUUGUUCAAAGGGCAUGGUUUGGAAUAACAAAUGGUACACCUGUUUCAUUGUCUCACUCCCGCUGGCGCCUUGAGAAGAUUUGCUCUGUCUGGCCUGAGGCCACAGUGCUAUGCUGGGCUCUCAUACAUCACACAGACGUUUGAUUUGUAAUCUCCACUCCCCAAGAGCCUGCAUCACAUUCCAAGCUGGUCAUACACUGUAAGUCUAUGAGAAAUGCUGACGUCCUACAGCAGGGAUCCUCAACUAGAUAAAAAAGAAAAUAUUGAGCGGAUGGUAAGGGGACCGGAACAUAAUUACAAAUUAAUUGUAGACUGCAAAUUGACCGCAAGAAGGCCCAAACAGAUAUAAUAUUUGACUAAAACACAAUAAUUUGAAACCUUGCUUACAUUUGGAUAUAAUCACAUCUCUAUUAUGCGUGGGAAUACUUGGGAACAGAUUUCCUAAAAUAAAAUCACUUGGAGCUGAUUUUCUGGUGUGGGCGGGGGGAUAAAACUAUCCGCAUGCCAAAUUCCCUGUUGGGGAACCCUGUUAUAGACCAUCCACACCCCUCAUCCACAGAGUCAUUUUCUGACAGUGACCAAGGACGUAUGUGAAAAGGGCAUGAAUAUCAAAGAUAAACUCUGAAACCCAACAAUAGUAUAACACAUAUGGGUCCUAUCAUUUGAUUUUGUAACAUAUCAAUUACAUGCUAUUUUAUUACCUUUCUCAGAAUCUUUGGCUGCCCUUUGUUAACUCCAUCCAAUAAAAAGUAUCCUAUUCAUUUACAAAUUCC
rnacentral:lncRNA from 1 species